rnacentral:rRNA from 1 species
GACGAGGGAUCCUAGCGUUGUUCGGAAUUAUUGGGCGUAAAGCGGGUGCAGGUGGCUUUGUAAGUCAGGUGUGAAAUCCCAGGGCUCAACCCUGGAAGUGCAUUUGAUACUGCGAAGCUUGAAUGUGGUAGAGGUGAGUAGAAUUCCAGGUGUAGUGGUGAAAUACGUAGAUAUCUGGAGGAAUACCGGAGGCGAAGGCGGCUCACUGGGCCAACAUUGACACUCAGACCCGAAAGCGUGGGGAUCAAACAGG